GAGAGCUUUUUGCGGGGAAACUUGCAAGUACAGUUUGGGGGGAGACGGGCAUUGACCCAAC
rfam:Helianthus annuus linkage group 4, whole genome shotgun sequence.